rnacentral:rRNA from 1 species
CUGCCCUUUGUACACACCGCCCGUCGCUGCCCGGGACUGAGCCAUUUCGAGAAAUUUGGGGACCGUUGAUUUAAUUUUUUUAAAUUACUUUUGAUGGAAACCAAUUUAAUCGCAGUGGCUUGAACCGGGCAAAAGUCGUAACAAGGUAGCUGUAGGUGAACCUGCUGCUGGAUCAUUACUUUUAUGUGAUGUUCAUAUUUGAAAUUUCACACCUUUAGAUGUGUAACGGCUGUCGCUGGUGUCUAUGUGUUGCUGAUUCAGUUGUGAACGUCCGUGACUGAAUAUGAGGUGACAUGUUAGGAUCUUUUUUAAGAUCGUAAGACUUAAUGAGCCCUUUAUUGGGACGCCAGCACCCUUUUUUUCUUUAAAUUUUUUUAAAAAACGAAAAAUUCUAGCCUUACCGGUGGAUCACUCGGCUCGUGGAUCGAUGAAGAACGCAGCAAACUGCGAUAAUUUGUGCGAACUGCAGAAACCUUGAGCAUAAAAGUUUUGAACGUGAAUUGCGUCAUUGGGGUCAAACCCUUUGACACGUCUGGUUCAGGGUCAUUUUUAAAAAACAUUAUUAUAUUGUUUUUGCUUUAUAAUAUUUAUUUAUUUUGAUUCGAUUUUAUACGUGUAAUGUAAAUCAGAUCAGAUCGUUUAUAUAUGACCUGAACUCAGUCGAGAUCACCCGCUGAACUUAAGCAUAUCAUUUA